rnacentral:sRNA from 1 species
CUGACAAACCUAAAGAAUAAAGUCCUCUCUCCACAGACACAGAACAGAUACAGUAAAGGCAGCAGCAGUGAAAGUUUACCCAUAUGUCCUACCACCAUGUCUCAACACUGACCUGGAGAGACCACCUCUAUGAAAAGUGAUGGUAUUCCAGUUUUCAUGCCAAUUCAUUUGUGGCCUCU